rnacentral:rRNA from 1 species
GUGAACGCUGGCGGUAGGCCUAACACAUGCAAGUCGAACGGCAGCACAGUAAGAGCUUGCUCUUACGGGUGGCGAGUGGCGGACGGGUGAGGAAUACAUCGGAAUCUACUUUUUCGUGGGGGAUAACGCAGGGAAACUUACGCUAAUACCGCAUACGACCUACGGGUGAAAGCAGGGGAUCUUCGGACCUUGCGCGAUUGAAUGAGCCGAUGUCGGAUUAGCUAGUUGGCGGGGUAAAGGCCCACCAAGGCGACGAUCCGUAGCUGGUCUGAGAGGAUGAUCAGCCACACUGGAACUGAGACACGGUCCAGACUCCUACGGGAGGCAGCAGUGGGGAAUAUUGGACAAUGGGCGCAAGCCUGAUCCAGCCAUACCGCGUGGGUGAAGAAGGCCUUCGGGUUGUAAAGCCCUUUUGUUGGGAAAGAAAAGCAGCAGGUUAAUACCCCGCUGUUCUGACGGUACCCAAAGAAUAAGCACCGGCUAACUUCGUG